GACGAACGCUGGCGGCGUGCUUAACACAUGCAAGUCGAACGGUAAGGCCCUUCGGGGUACACGAGUGGCGAACGGGUGAGUAACACGUGGGUGAUCUGCCCUGCACUUCGGGAUAAGCCUGGGAAACUGGGUCUAAUACCGGAUAGGACUCCGGACUGCAUGGUCUGGGGUGGAAAGCUUUUGCGGUGUGGGAGGGGCCCGCGGCCUAUCAGCUUGUGGGUGGGGUGAUGGCCUACCAAGGCGACGACGGGUAGCCGGCCUGAGAGGGUGACCGGGCACACUGGGACUGAGAUACGGCGCCGGCUCCUACGGGAGGCAGCAGUGGGGAAUAUGGCACAAUGGGCGGAAGCCUGAUGCAGCGACGCCGCGUGAGGGAUGACGGCCUUCGGGUUGUAAACCUCUUUCAGCAUCGACGAAGCGAAAGUGACGGUAGGUGCAGAAGAAGGACCGGCCAACUGCGUGCCAGCAGCAGCCGCGG
rnacentral:rRNA from 1 species